UGGGGAAUAUUGCACAAUGGAGGGAACUCUGAUGCAGCGACGCCGCGUGAACGAAGAAGGCUUUCGAGUCGUAAAGUUCUUUUAUAUGGGAAGAUAAUGACGGUACCAUAAGAAAAAGCCCCGGCUAACUACGUGCCAGCAGCCGCGGUAAUACGUAGGGGGCUAGCGUUGUCCGGAAUCACUGGGCGUAAAGGGUUCGCAGGCGGAAAUGCAAGUCAGGUGUAAAAGGCAGUAGCUUAACUACUGUAAGCAUUUGAAACUGCAUAUCUUGAGAAGAGUAGAGGUAAGUGGAAUUUUUAGUGUAGCGGUGAAAUGCGGAGAUAAUAAAAAGAAUACCGGGGGCGAAGGCGACUUACUGGGCUCAUUCUGACGCUGAGGAACGAAAGCGUGGGUAGCAAACAGG
rnacentral:rRNA from 1 species